rnacentral:rRNA from 1 species
UACGAAGGGGGCUAGCGUUGCUCGGAAUGACUGGGCGUAAAGGGCGCGUAGGCGGUUUGGUUAGUUAGGCGUGAAAUUCCUGGGCUCAACCUGGGGACUGCGCUUAAUACAGCCAGGCUAGAGUGUGGAAGAGGGUCGUGGAAUUCCCAGUGUAGAGGUGAAAUUCGUAGAUAUUGGGAAGAACACCGGUGGCGAAGGCGGCGACCUGGUCCAUUACUGACGCUGAGGCGCGAAAGCGUGGGGAGCAAACAGGAUUAGAAACCCGUGUAGUCC